rnacentral:rRNA from 1 species
GAGGAGAGUAGAAAUUACACGUGUAAGCGGUGAAAUGACGUGGAGAUGUGGAGGAACACCAGUGGCGAAGGCUAUUCUAUANNUUAUAACUAACGUUGAGGAGCGAAAGUGUGGGGAGCGAACAGGAUUAGAUACCAUGGUAGUCCACGCCGUAAUCGAUGAGUGCUAAGUGUUAGGGGGUUUCCGCACAUUAGUGCUGCAGCUAACGCAUUAAGCACUCCGCCUGGGGAGUACGGUCGCAAGACUGAAACUCAAAGGAAUUGACGGGGGCCCGCACAAGCGGUGGAGCAUGUGGUUUAAUUCGAAGCAACGAGAAGAACCUUACCAGGUCUUGACAUCCUCUGACAAUCCUAGAGAUAGGACGUCCCCUUCGGGGGCAGAGUGACAGGUGGUGCAUGGUUGUCGUCAGCUCGUGUCGUGAGAUGUUGGGUUAAGUCCCGCAACGAGCGCAACCCUUGAUCUUAGUUGCCAGCAUUCAGUUGGGCACUCUAAGGUGACUGCCGGUGACAAACCGGAGGAAGGUGGGGAUGACGUCAAAUCAUCAUGCCCCUUAUGACCUGGUUUACACACGUGCUACAAUGGACAGAACAAAGGACAGCGAAACCAAGAGGUUAAGCCAAUCACCACAAAUCUGUUAUCAGUUAGGAUCGCAGUGUGCAACUCGAAUGCGUGAAGAAGGAAUCGCUAGUAAUGGCGGAUCAGCAUGCCGCGGUGAAUACGUUCCCACGGUGCGNGUGUUUCACACCGCCCGUCACAACCGAGGAGAGCUUUGUAUCACCNGGAAGUUUAGUUGUAGGNGANGGGAU